UGUUGACUGCUGACUGUUUGCAACGAAACUUCGUUCUUUUCGCGAGUGUUCGUGGCGCGUACCUACAGUGGGGGAUGCAGCCUUUUAUAUGUGUUGUGCGCUCGACCUUAAACUUCUGCACUGCGCGCUGGCGCUUGCAUCGACGACAGCGUACUCGCUCCACUCCACUGUUGCGCUCUCGGCCGACGGCGACGACCAGUGCUAUUGUAGUUUAAUUUGUUCUAGCAAUUAUGAUGAGCAGCUUCUGAACAACUUCACUGAACAGUGUAGCAAAAGUUGACUUCGCAUGAUCUACUGCGUUCAAUGCUAUUCGUCCGUUACGGCCUGUAAAUAAGCAGCCCUGUUGUAGUCUGUAAUGCGCUGAUCACGCGCGCACUGUCGGUAACUUUUUUUUUAGCUUGGAGAACCAAGUGAAAUGAUUCGCACUUAAUUACGCAGCACCACAAUGCACCGCGUAGAAACUCGUUUUGUUCGCUGCGGUGUUCCACAAACUUGCGUUAGGUUGUGCCACAGCCUCCUAUAUAAGAAUAUAUAGGAGGCUGUGGUUGUGCAGUUGCGUUGUCACGCAAAUCGAACGCAGUUAUCGGUAGUGCACACAGACUGUGUCCAUUGCAUGAUGCCGUUUGGCAAGAUGAUGUGGCAUUAUGCGCAUUGUUUACUGGAGGCCAGUAAAAAUCUUGGUCCAGAAGGUGUAGCUGCCACAGCGCUUGCUUCUGUAGCUUACCUUGGGCUGCGUCUGGAAAUUCCAGAUUCCUUGAAUAAAGCAAAAACGAAACGGCGUGGGACAGGUUGGACAAAUGGAACGCAACGAUGAGUUUUUAACCUCCCUUUCUUUCUCUCACUCUCUUGUCAGUGUGAAUUAUCUGGCCCAUCUAAAUCCUUGAGAUAUUUCAAACGCCAACAAGAGCUAGUGCAGCACGCACUAUUUCAGUUUGCAUAACGCAACAUUUGCCUCUGAUGCUGCGUCAAAUUGUGCAGACGCAUAUGAGCCUCGUAUGUAUGCCACUAACACACAAGCAAGCACUAUAUAAGUGAGCAACUGCUUCCUGCUUUUAGAGCUUCUUGCAAAUUCUGAAACUACUACCACAUUUGAGCAACUGUAACUAACUUCAUGGAAAGCAAGAGCAACUAGCUUUUCCAUAGCAUUCUUUGGAAGGGCCACAAAAUUGUACCUAUUGAGAGCUUAACCCUUCAACUCCCAAGCUAGCAUGGGAUUUGGGAACACAACAGUACGAACAAAUAUGAGUGCUCAACUAGUUCAGGCAGCAGGUUGUUUCGCUUUGCUCACUGGAUAUAAACCCCACUCAACUAAUAUCAGGAGGUGCAGUUGAUCUAGACUUCACCGUUCCUCCCCGCUUGCGCAAUUUUGUUAUGCAUUUAUUUUCUUGUCACACAGACAGGUAUUCGAGACUUGAAUGGGUGUAGAGUAAAAGCGUCUUGUACAGAAUAAGUUCAAUAUUUUGGUGAAUAAGAAAGACAAAGCAUGGUCUAUGAUGCCACAACCAUUCCAUAGGCCAGCAGAAGAAAGACUACAUAAAAGAAGCAAAGCCAACAUUUGCAGGGAUAACUUUGGAUCCUACAA
rnacentral:lncRNA from 1 species